CAACGUGCGAACGAGCGAGCGAGCAAGCGAAGCCUCCAGGUCCCUUCGCCGUUGCCCUCGCACAUCAAGCCGCCGCCCUCGCCCUCGCCCUCGCAGCCGCCGCCGAUCCCCUCCCCCAUCUUCCUCCCUCAAACGCUAACCCGUCUCGCGGUGCGCCACCGCCCGUCGCGGCCGCCCCCGCCACCUCCCGCCGCGCCGCCGCCCCACCUCCAGCCGUGGCCGUCGCGCCCAGAUCCAGCGGCGGCUGCCGCCCCACCUCCAGCCGCGGCCGCCCCACCUCCAGUCGCGGCCGCCGCCCCCACGUCCCACCGCGGCCGCUGCCCGCGCCAACGACCCCUUCCUCCGCCGCCGCGCCACGGGUCCACUUCGCCAUGAGCUCCAGCGCCGACCAUCCCAAAGCUGCUCGUGAUCCCCUUUUCCAUCAGCUCCACUUCACCGGAACCGAAAAUCAGCCAAGAUACGCAACAAACAUAUCAGCCGCAGCUAGCUGCUAUACGCACAUGUGCAAAAACAAACUUAUUAAUCCUUUGCCGUAGACAAUACUGAAGCACUAACACAAACAAGAUCCUUCUGAAGAUAGUCUCUGAAUGCAAAUGAUCAUGACUUAUGAAUUUGGAGCCAUGGCCCAUGUGUAGGCAAGGGCAAUGAUCCCUUUUACUACUUGAGCGGUCCAACAGAGAUUAUUGAAGGUUGUUUCUGAAGUUGUGAUUGACUGGAACCAUUGCUUGGAUUAAGUGGGAGUGAAGAUGUUCUUUCUAUCUAUAUCUGGUUCUAUUAUUGGCAAAUUUGUGCCUUCGAGAUUGCUGCGAGUGUUUGUGUUCCCGAGCUGAAAAUUUAGAUUAUUACCAUGUUUGGUCUCCUAAAUAUAAAUCAUGAUUCUUUGCAUCUCAAUUGCAGACCAGCAGACCUUUCCGUCCUCAUAUUCCCCGGAUUCGUUUUCUGCGAUCGAGCGCCCGAGCGGUUGCAUCUCGACGGCAGUUCCCUUUACAACCGAGUUAGCUUUAUACUAUGAGCAGUGAGCAAGUCAUGUAUAAAGCAAAAACAAAGUAUUAGUCUGCUAUCAAAUGGUACAUUUAUUUGAACUCUAAGGGCAGGUUCAGGGUCUCAUGAAGAGGGCAUGUGUUUGUAUUAGAUCAGAAGAUUUUGCAGUUGACAAGCUUACAGGUUUGAGCACCCCGAACAACGGGGUGGGCCCUUUGACCUGUGGGUUUUGCUGGUACCAAGAGAAGGAGGUUCCUUUUAACCUGCAGGAGCUCUGCCAAUGGCAGCGUGCUUUCCUUGACAAUGACGUGGUACUGCACGUACGCAAGAUGCAGCGAGUGAAAUCGGCGCAAGAGGGCAUCUUGCAAGCAGCACCAAAUCCUAUAUUAUGGGACCGAGUCAAAUGUGGCUCGGUGAUAGAAUUAAGCAUGAAGGAGGAAGAUACCAGCCCCAGCCCCGGCAAUAAAGACUGCGGCAACGGCGACGGCAGUGUGUCCCGGCGAGUGUGAGCAAUGGCAGCAUCAUCUCUGACUCCGAGUACCUGACCAAGACGCUGCCCAGGUCACAUGUCAAGGACUUCCUCUUGGACGAUGCUGCCUCCUUGGCUGUUGUUGUCGUCUCCUCAAAUAAGUUGUAUCAGUCCAGCCGAGGCGCGGUUGGGGAUCAAGCUUGCGAGGGGAUCCAGCGUGGGAUGGAGGCGAGGCGCUCGAGCGACAGUGAUGGUGGCGAUGGGGUAAGAUCUGCGGCAUGUCUUCGGCGGUCUUGCUCCUCUUUCCCUUUCCCUGCGCCAAGCGAUGGCAAAGAGGAGGAGGCUGCUUCGCCGAUGGCGUAUGGUGGCUGUGCCGGUGGUGUGUGUGGAUUGAGGCCAUGAGCGACGGCUCUGUAACCUAACGCCUCCCUCCGUGUCUCCUCGAUCGGCACACCAUAGGCCUCCCCUCCCCUCUCCCUUCCGCUGGCGCACGAGCACAACAGCAGGCCCCUCCGGAUCUCCCUUCCCUCCGCCGGAUGGCAGGUGCCCACAAUCCAAAUUUUCUGAUAGCUGAAAUAGGCGGCCAUGGGAGCCAACGCUCGAACUUGGGGAGCCAGAUGCGAUCAGAGGCGCAUAUAGAGAUGAUGAUGAUGAUAACCACCAGGGGCAGUUGAUUGUUUUGGUUUUCCCAGGUCCGAUUGAUUGUUUUGGGCCUGCUGAUGAUGACGUUUUUGGGCCGACAUGAACCUGAUGUUCUUGAUGUGGAUGAUGUAGCAGGCAAUGGCCACACCGGCCAAGGGUCAACAACAUGAGCAAGUGAACCAGACGCUACUAUUGGGGAUGGCUGAGACACUACAAGACAUAUUUUAUCAUAUUAUAGGCUAAUCUUCGCUGUUUGCACAGUUUGUGAUUUAAUCAUUCACCCAACUGGUAGGAUCUGAGUCUGGAGGACUCCAUACCAUGGCAUUUAAUCUUCUUACAUGUUGGAAUUUCCUUGCAACAACUGAUGGCUGAUAAAAAGAAGUUACAGUUUAAUCGAAGGGAGAAUGAAAAUUUCAAUAUUGGCAUCCUUAUAUAAGGCCUUCUAUGUCUUUUUUCUAAGGCCACAAACAAGAAAACAUGCAGUCGUCUUAUGGCCGUGGGCUGGAGGGCGGCGUGCAAGGACAACCAAGAAGAUCACAUCCACCUACUUUUGGCUGUUUGUGUCACUCUUCUUUGGUGAAUCAUUCCAAUCAUUUCGUUGAGGCUCUGCAUCCCAUCUGAAUGGAUACCAACAAAAGCAGUGUUUAGUCCAUCGCUGAAUUGUAUUGCCCUUUGCUUCUGGGUAUAGAACUAGAUAUCACAUGGACCUCUCCCUGGAAGCAAUCAAACAUUUUUGACUCGUGAGGUCAAUGGUGCCAAGCUUACAAGUUAAUGUAGGAAAGUUAAUAGGAACUAUACAAAUGAAGUCAGAGUUUAGUUAAAACUUCAUAAACAUUUCUCGUAGCUAAUGUAUUUUGUCUUAUGUACUAUAUCUUGUCGUGUUUUUAUGUAAUUGGGCUCUUUUGUUGUGAAAAAAAUUAGAUGUGUUUUCUCUCUUCUCCUUUCAGUCCAUCAAACUAAUCCAUGAUAUAUAUGUAGUUCUCUCAUGGAUGAGCGACCACCUAAAGGUGUUGUAUAGUUCUUCCAUUCUUCAGUGAAACAUUACAUUGAUUUUC